CCUACGGGGAGCUGCAGUCGAGAAUCUUCGGCAAUGGGCGCAAGCCUGACCGAGCGACGCCGCGUGUGGGAUGAAGGCCUUCGGGUUGUAAACCACUGUCAGAGGGGAGGAAAUGUACGUGGGUUCUCCCACGUACUUGACCUAUCCUCAGAGGAAGUACGGGCUAAGUUCGUGCCAGCAGCCGCGGUAAGACGAACCGUACGAACGUUAUUCGGAAUUACUGGGCUUAAAGGGUGCGUAGGCGGCGCAGAAAGUUGGGUGUGAAAUCCCUCGGCUUAACCGAGGAAUUGCGCCCAAAACUACUGUGCUCGAGGGAGGUAGAGGUGAGCGGAACUUAGGGUGGAGCGGUGAAAUGCGUUGAUAUCCUAAGGAACACCGGUGGCGAAAGCGGCUCACUGGACCUCUUCUGACGCUGAGGCACGAAAGCUAGGGUAGCAAAC
rnacentral:rRNA from 1 species